ensembl:lncRNA
AAUUGAUGGCAAAGGCUCUGUGCUGGGAUUUUGUCUGCAGUCCCACUUCCAAAGGGGGAAAGUGGGGCUGCUUAAUUGAAAUGCAGGUCAUGCUGCUGGGAAAUUUAUGCAGGAGGGAACUUCAUCACUUCCUGAUACCAAUUCUGUGUCUUCUACACAGAUCUGUCUUCAUGAUGCAGUCUUGUGCAACCUUGUCACACAAACACGAAGGGAUGAAUGGGGAAAGGCAAUACAGACAGAAGUACGUCCAUCAGAGAGCUUACAAUGUCAGAUAUCACCAGUCUGCAAUAAUUCCCUCUUCAAGGACUAUUAUAAUUGUAUUGUUGUGCAUAUCAAGUCACCAACAGGGACCGCAGAUCCUUCCCUGCUGCUGUGCAGCUAUCCAGCACAAACUUACAGCCCCUAUCCCGUUAUCUAUGAAGACAUCUGAAAAUACAGUGCUUGAACAUCUAUGUAGCAGUAAAAUCCAGCUCUUCCUGAGCAUCUAUGCCUGGAUGGAAACCCAAGAGGAAUGCCAUGGCAUGGGCUGUGAUGAGCUGACACUACACUGCCAUUUGCAAGCAGUGUCCAAAGAAACAAACAGCUCUUCCCUUGUCCCCUGUCAUCACCUCUGUCACAUCAAACUGCUGAGGCCAACCCCCUGGCUCUCUCUGAAAUAAAUUAACCUUGUCUCUCUCUCAUGUCA